CCUACGGGUGGCUGCAGUGAGGAAUAUUGGUCAAUGGCCGUAAGGCUGAACCAGCCAAGUCGCGUGAAGGAAGAAGGAUCUAUGGUUUGUAAACUUCUUUUAUACGGGAAUAACGCGCCUUACGUGUAGGGCUUUGCAUGUACCGUAUGAAUAAGGACCGGCUAAUUCCGUGCCAGCAGCCGCGGUAAUACGGAAGGUCCGGGCGUUAUCCGGAUUUAUUGGGGUUAAAGGGAGCGUAGGCCGCAUGUCAAGCGUGCUGUGAAAUGUCCGGGCUCAACCCGGGCCUUGCAGCGCGAACUGGCGUGCUUGAGUCCGCGGAAAGCAGGCGGAAUUCGUGGUGUAGCGGUGAAAUGCUUAGAUAUGACGAAGAACCCCGAUUGCGAAGGCAGCUUGCUGCAGCGGAACUGACGCUGAUGCUCGAAAGCGCGGGUAUCGAACAGGAUUAGAUACCCUUGUAGUC
rnacentral:rRNA from 1 species